UAAGACGUAGGGUGCAAGCGUUGUCCGGAAUUAUUGGGCGUAAAGAGUUCGUAGGCGGCUUGUCGCGUCGGAAGUGAAAGCCCGGGGCUUAACCCCGGGUCUGCUACCGAUACGGGCAGGCUAGAGGGAAGCAGGGGAGAGUGGAAUUCCUGGUGUAGCGGUGGAAUGCGCAGAUAUCAGGAGGAACACCGGUGGCGAAGGCGGCUCUCUGGGCUUUACCUGACGCUGAGGAACGAAAGUGUGGGGAGCAAACAGGCUUAGAUACCCUGGUAGUCCACACCGUAAACGUUGGGCGCUAGGUGUGGGGAACAUUCCACGUUCUCCGUGCCGCAGCUAACGCAUUAAGCGCCCCGCCUGGGGAGUACGGCCGCAAGGCUA
rnacentral:rRNA from 1 species